UGCUGAUAAUCAUGAUGUACAUUGUUAAU
rnacentral:piRNA from 1 species